rnacentral:rRNA from 1 species
GCCUCUUGGUCUGGGACAACUGUUGGAAACGACAGCUAAUACCGGAUAUUAUGAGAUUCUCGCAUGGGAAACUUAUGAAAGCUAUAUGCGCCAAGAGAGAGCCUUGCGUUCCAUUAGCUAGUUGGUGGGGUAACGGCCCACCAAGGCGACGAUGGAUAGCCGGCCUGAGAGGGUGAACGGCCACAAGGGGACUGAGACACGGCCCUUACUCCUACGGGAGGCAGCAGUGGGGAAUAUUGGACAAUGGGCCACAAGCCUGAUCCAGCAAUUCUGUGUGCACGAUGAAGGUCUUCGGAUUGUAAAGUGCUUUCAGUUGGGAAGAAGAAAGUGACGGUACCAACAGAAGAAGCGACGGCUAAAUACGUGCCAGCAGCCGCGGUAAUACGUAUGUCGCAAGCGUUAUCCGGAUUUAUUGGGCGUAAAGCGCGUCUAGGCGGAAAAAUAAGUCUGAUGUUAAAAUGCGGGGCUCAACUCCGUAUUGCGUUGGAAACUGUUUUUCUAGAGUACUGGAGAGGUGGGCGGAACUACAAGUGUAGAGGUGAAAUUCGUAGAUAUUUGUAGGAAUGCCGAUGGAGAAGUCAGCUCACUGGACAGAUACUGACGCUAAAGCGCGAAAGCGUGGGGAGCAAACAGGAUUAGAUACCCUGGUAGUCCACGCCGUAAACGAUGAUCACU